rnacentral:rRNA from 1 species
CCUACGGGCGGCAGCAGUGAGGAAUAUUGGUCAAUGUGCGCGAGCCUGAACCAGCCAAGUAGCGUGAAGGAUGACUGCCCUACGGGUUGUAAACUUCUUUUAUAAAGGGAUAAAGUGAGGCACGUGUGCCUGUUUGUAUGUACUUUAUGAAUAAGGAUCGGCUAACUCCGUGCCAGCAGCCGCGGUAAUACGGAGGAUCCGAGCGUUAUCCGGAUUUAUUGGGGUUAAAGGGUGCGUAGGUGGGUUGUUAAGUCAGUUGUGAAAGUUUGCGGCUCAACCGUCAAAGUGCCAUUGAUACUGGCAGUCUUGAGAAGAGUUGAGGUAGGCGGAAUUCGUGGUGUAGCGGUGAAAUGCUUAGAUAUCACGAAGAACUCCGAUUGCGAAGGCAGCCUACUAA